CCCCACUGCUAUCGGGGUGGGACUAAAACAUGCAAGUCGAGCGCCUCCAAGCUAUGGUGAAGGCGCGGCAAACGGCUCAGUAACACGUGGCCAACCUACCCUUGGGACGGAGACAACCCCGGGAAACUGGGGCUAAUCCCCGAUAGGUAAGGAAUCCUGGAAUGGAUCUUUGCUGAAAGGGCGUCUGGACCAUGCUUCUUGACGUCGCCCAAGGAUGGAGCCGCGACCGAUCAGGUAGUUGGCGAGGCAACGGCUCACCAAACCUUUGACCGGUACGGGCCAUGAGAGUGGUAGCCCGGAGAUGGGCACUGAGACAAGGGCCCAGGCCCUACGGGGCGCAGCAGGCGCGAAACCUCCACAAUUCACGAAAGUGAGAUGGGGUUACCUCGAGUGCCGUCUGAAGAAGGCGGCUUCUCCAUGGUGUAACAAGCCGUGGGAAUAAGGGGGGGGCAAGACUGGUGUCAGCCGCCGCGGUAACACCAGCCCCCCGAGUGGUGGGGAUGAUUAUUUGGCCUAAAGCGUCCGUAGCCGGCUUUGUAAAUCUCUCGUUAAAUCCAGCGUCCUAAGCGUUGGGCUGCGAGAGACACUGCAGAGCUAGAGGGUGGGAGAGGUCAGCGGUAUUCCUGGGGUAGGGGCGAAAUCCAUUGAUCCCAGGAGGACCACCAGUGGCGAAGGCUGCUGUCCAGAACACGCCUGACGGUCAGGGACGAAAGCUGGGGUAGCGAAUCGGAUUAGAUACCCGAGUAGUCCCAGCCGUAAACGAUGCAGGCUAGGUGUUGGGUCGGCCACGCGCCGCCUCAGUGCCACAGGGAAGCCAUUAAGCCUGCCGCCUGGGGAGUACGGCCGCAAGGCUGAAACUUAAAGGAAUUGGCGGGGGAGCACCACCAGGCGUGAAGCCUGCGGUUU
rnacentral:rRNA from 1 species